rnacentral:rRNA from 1 species
GAACUAAGAUAACGACAAGUAGGGCGGGGCACGAGAAACCUUGUCUGAACAUGGGGGGACCAUCCUCCAAGGCUAAAUACUCGUAAUCGACCGAUAGUGAACUAGUACCGUGAGGGAAAGGCGAAAAGAACCCCGGGAGGGGAGUGAAAUAGAUCCUGAAACCGUAUGCAUACAAACAGUGGGAGCGGACUUGUUCCGUGACUGCGUACCUUUUGUAUAAUGGGUCAGCGACUUACAUUCAGUAGCAAGCUUAACCGAUAGGGGAGGCGUAGCGAAAGCGAGUCCUAAUAGGGCGAUUUAGUUACUGGGUGUAGACCCGAAACCAAGUGAUCUAUCCAUGGCCAGGAUGAAGGUGCCGUAACAGGUACUGGAGGUCCGAACCCACAAAUGUUGAAAAAUUUGGGGAUGAGCUGUGGAUAGGGGUGAAAGGCUAAUCAAACUUGGAGAUAGCUGGUUCUCUCCGAAAACUAUUUAGGUAGUACCUCGUAUCUUACUCUCGGGGGUAGAGCACUGUUAUGGCUAGGGGGUCCUUAAGGACUUACCAAACCAUUGCAAACUCCGAAUACCGAGAAGUACAAUUACGGGAGACAGACAGCGGGUGCUAACGUCCGUUGUCAAGAGGGAAACAACCCAGACCACCAGCUAAGGUCCCAAAUGAUAUGCUAAGUGGUAAACGAAGUGAGAAGGCCCAGACAGCCAGGAGGUUGGCUUAGAAGCAGCCAUCCUUUAAAGAAAGCGUAAUAGCUCACUGGUCGAGUCGUCUUGCACGGAAGAUGUAACGGGGCUAAGCAUAUAACCGAAGCUGCGGAUGCGUGUUUACACGCAUGGUAGGAGAGCGUUCUGUAGGUCUGUGAAGGUGUUCUGUGAGGAAUGCUGGAGAUAUCAGAAGUGCGAAUGCUGACAUGAGUAGCGAUAAAGGGAGUGAAAGGCUCCCUCGCCGAAAGCCCAAGGUUUCCUGCGCAACGUUCAUCGGCGCAGGGUGAGUCGGCCCCUAAGGUGAGGCAGAAAUGCGUAGCCGAUGGGAAACAGGUUAAUAUUCCUGUACCUCAAUUUAAUGCGAUGUGGGGACGGAGAAGGUUAGGUCAGCCAGGUGUUGGAUAUCCUGGUUCAAGCAUGUAGAUAGAUUUCUUAGGUAAAUCCGGGAAGUCAAUAUCAAGAUGUGUUAACGAGUGAACUUUUGUUCAUGAAGUGAUUGAUACCACGCUUCCAAGAAAAGCCACUAAGCUUCAGUUAGAUUGAGACCGUACCGCAAACCGACACAGGUGGGCAGGAUGAGAAUUCUAAGGCGCUUGAGAGAACUCUGGAGAAGGAACUCGGCAAAUUUGUACCGUAACUUCGGGAUAAGGUACGCCCCAGUAGGUUGUAGCAUUUUACAUGCGAAGGCCGAUGGGGUUGCAGUGAAAUGGUGGCUGCGACUGUUUAUUAAAAACACAGCACUGUGCAAACACGAAAGUGGACGUAUACGGUGUGACUCCUGCCCGGUGCCGGAAGGUUAAUUGAUGGGGUGCAAGCUCUUGAUAGAAGCCCCGGUAAACGGCGGCCGUAACUAUAACGGUCCUAAGGUAGCGAAAUUCCUUGUCGGGUAAGUUCCGACCUGCACGAAUGGAGUAACGACGGCCACACUGUCUCCUCUAG